CAGAGUUUAAUGACUUCAGUGAAUAGUACCUGUAAAUGUCACACUAAUGUGCUCUGCAGAGAAGGAAGAAAAUGAUGUGACAUACAAUUGGAGUCCCCUGGAAGAAGAGGGUGAUAUCCUUAGCAACUUCCAGAACCCAGAUAACCAAGAGUUGACUUAAAUUUGUACAGCCGGGAACCGACAACAACUCUCACUCCAUCUUUGCCUGGAAGCUUUGGACAUGCCAAUGGGCCUCCAUACUCACUACCCUGGGUUGUUGAGUGUGCUGGUAGUGUUCUCACUGUGUAUUGUUAUUGUAUCUUCAGUGUUUUUGCUCUGUUUAUACAAGAGAGGAC
rnacentral:lncRNA from 1 species